GACGAACGCUGGCGGCGCGCUUAACACAUGCAAGUCGAGCGAAGCGGCGGACGGGUGAGUAACACGUGAGUAACCUGCCUUAGACAUUGGGAUAGCCUCGGGAAACCGGGAUUAAUACCAAAUGGUCUAAGAUGGAAUCGCGUCCCAUUAGCUAGUUGGUGGGUAACGGCCCACCAAGGCGACGAUGGGUAGCCGGCCUGAGAGUGUGAGCGGCCACAUUGGAACUGAGAAACGGUCCAACCUCUACGGGAGGCAGCAGGGGGGAAUAGUGCACAAUGGAGGAAGCUCAUGUGCAGCGACGCCGCGUGAACGAGGAAGGCUUUCGAGUCGUAAAGUUCUUUUAUAUGGGAAGCGGUACCAUAAGAAAAAGCCCCGGCUAACUACGUACCAGCAGCCGCGGUAAUUC
rnacentral:rRNA from 1 species